GUCCAUGUAGCGCAAUGGAUAGCGUGUUGGAUUCCUAAUCCAAAGGUCGAGUAUUCGAAUCCCUCCUGGGAUG